UACAGAGGUCUCAAGCGUUGUUCGGAUUCAUUGGGCGUAAAGCGCACGUAGGCGGCUUCUUAAGUCAGGGGUGAAAUCCUGGAGCUCAACUCCAGAACUGCCUUUGAUACUGAGGAGCUUGAGUCCGGGAGAGGUGAGUGGAACUGCGAGUGUAGAGGUGAAAUUCGUAGAUAUUCGCAAGAACACCAGUGGCGAAGGCGGCUCACUGGCCCGAUACUGACGCUGAGGCACGAAAGCGUGGGGAGCAAACAGGG
rnacentral:rRNA from 1 species